UGCCAGCCGCCGCGGUAACACGAACCGUACGAACGUUAUUCGGAAUUAUUGGGCUUAAAGGGUGCGUAGGCGGCGCGGUCAGUUGGGUGUGAAAGCCCUCGGCUUAACCGAGGAAUUGCGCCCAAUACUGCCGUGCUUGAGGGAGACAGAGGUAAGCGGAACUGAUGGUGGAGCGGUGAAAUGCGUUCAUAUCAUCAGGAACACCAGUGGCGAAAGCGGCUUACUGGGUCUCUUCUGACGCUGAGGCACGAAAGCUAGGGUAGCGAACGGGAUUAGAUA
rnacentral:rRNA from 1 species